GGCGUGAGCCUACGGAAAGUGCCACAGAAAAUAACCGCCUAAGCGCGCAAGCGCCGGUAAGGGUGAAAAGGUGCGGUAAGAGCGCACCGCGCGGCUGGCAACAGUCCGUGGCUAGGUAAACCCCACUUGGAGCAAGACCAAAUAGGGAUCCAUUGGCGUGGCCCGCGCUGGAUCCGGGUAGGUUGCUAGAGGCAGUCAGUGAUGGCUGUCGUAGAGGAAUGACUGUCCUCGACAGAACCCGGCUUACAGAUCGACUCUCCGA
rnacentral:RNase_P_RNA from 1 species